UAUAGUCAACAUUUUCAACUUGUUGAAUAACACAAAGGGAAAAAUGUAUUUCAAAAAAUCAUCUUUGGUGAACUUUCUACUGGCGGUUGUGGUUUGGAGUUCUGUCUUUUAUUUAACUUCUGCGGAUUCAAUACGUAAAAGGGUCGCUCCUUUGAAAUGAACGGAAUGUUUGUCCAUCAUAUUUACUUAUAUUGAAUUAUAAGUUAAUAUGUGUUGAAUAAAGAAAUAUAAAAACUA